rnacentral:pre_miRNA from 1 species
AUGUAGGGUAAUUUGUCUUUAAAUAGGGAUAAAUUACCAAAAAAAAAUGAAUCCUAGUUUUUCCUUCAAGUCAAGUGUCUUGU